UACGUAGGGGGCAAGCGUUGUCCGGAAUCAUUGGGCGUAAAGCGCGUGUAGGCGGCCAGAAAAGUCCGCUGUGAAAACUCGAGGCUCAACUUCGAGCUGUCGGUGGAAACUUUCUGGCUAGAGUCCGGAAGAGGAGAAUGGAAUUCCUGGUGUAGCGGUGAAAUGCGCAGAUAUCAGGAAGAAUACCCGUGGCGCAAGCGCCCACCUGGCCGAGACCUGACGCUAAGGCACGAAAGCGUGGGGAGCGAACCGG
rnacentral:rRNA from 1 species